AAUAUUGUUAAAUGGGGGCAACCCUGAUCCAGCCAUGCCGCGUGUGUGAAGAAGGUCUUAGGUAUGUAAAGCACUUUAAGUUUAGAGGAAGGUCGUUAGGCUAAUACCUCGACGUUUUGACGAUACCAAUAGAAUAAGCACCGUCUAACUCUGUUCCAUCAGCCGCGGUAAUACAGCGGGUGCAAGCUUUAAUCGGAAUUACUGGGCGUAAAGCGCGCGUAGGUGGUUCAGUAAGAUGGGUGUGAAAUCCCCGGGCUUAACCUGGGAACUGCUUUCAUAACUGCUGAGCUAGAGUACGGUAGAGGGUAGUGGAAUUUCCUGUGUAGCGGUGAAAUGCGUAGAUAUAGGAAGGAACACCAGUGGCGAAGGCGACCACCUGGGCUAAUACUGACACUGAGGUGCGAAAGCGUGGGGAGCAAACA
rnacentral:rRNA from 1 species